UCCCAGAUAACUUGCGUGGAUCAGCGGGUACCCAUCGGGCCCUUCCGUCACCAAAAAGGGGAGGCUUUGGAGGUCUCGCUGGAGCUCGGGGUCGGAGAACUUACGGCCGAUGAGGCGCUUCACUUGAGAGACGGAAUUCUUGGGGUUCAUCGUUGAUGAGGCGGCCCCAGCGGUUCCAAUAAACCGCUGCUUCUCGCCAAAGCACACAACGGCAGGGGUUUCACGCUUGGAUUCGUCAUUGAGGACAACAUCAAUGCCUCG
rnacentral:lncRNA from 1 species